UUUUGUACUUUGAUAAUGAUUAUAGAUGUUUAAAUGAAUGAUGUAAAGGAACUUAUGUUAAAUUCAAAAGGGUUAUAUUUUGGGAUAUCAUGUGAUGUAUCCAGUGAAGAAAUGAUGAAGAGAAUGUAAAUGUAAUUUUGUAAUUGAAUGCAUGCAUGUGGUUAAAAGUUAAUCAUAUUACUUGUAUGUUGUUUAGUUU
rnacentral:lncRNA from 1 species